UGGGGAAUAUUGGACAAUGGGGGAAACCCUGAUCCAGCGAUGCCGCGUGAGGGAAGAAGGUUUUCGGAUUGUAAACCUCUGUGGACAGGGACGAUAAUGACGGUACCUGUUUAGAAAGCCACGGCUAACUACGUGCCAGCAGCCGCGGUAAUACGUAGGUGGCGAGCGUUGUCCGGAAUUACUGGGUGUAAAGGGAGUGUAGGCGGGAAGGCAAGUCAGAAGUGAAAAUUAUGGGCUUAACCCAUAACCUGCUUUUGAAACUGUUUUUCUUGAGUGAGGCAGAGGCAAGCGGAAUUCCUAGUGUAGCGGUGAAAUGCGUAGAUAUUAGGAGGAACACCAGUGGCGAAGGCGGCUUGCUGGGCCUUUACUGACGCUGAGGCUCGAAAGCGUGGGGAGCAAACAGGAUUAGAUACCCUGGUAGUCCACGCCGUAAACGAUGAUCACUAGGUGUGGGGAGUUGAACCUUUCCGUGCCGGAGUUAACACAAUAAGUGAUCCACCUGGGGAGUACGACCGCAAGGUUGAAACUCAAAGGAAUUGACGGGGGCCCGCACAAGCAGUGGAGUAUGUGGUUUAAUUCGAAGCAACGCGAAGAACCUUACCAGGUCUUGACAUCGAGUGACGAUCCCAGAGAUGGGAUUUCCCUUCGGGGCACAAAGACAGGUGGUACAUGGUUGUCGUCAGCUCGUGUCGUGAGAUGUUGGGUUAAGUCCCGCAACGAGCGCAACCCUUACUAUUAGUUGCUACGCAAGAGCACUCUAAUAGGACUGCCGUUGAUAAAACGGAGGAAGGUGGGGAUGACGUCAAAUCAUCAUGCCCUUUAUGACCUGGGCUACACACGUACUACAAUGGCGUUUAACAAAGAGAAGCGAAACCGCGAGGUUGAGCAAAUCCCCAAAAAACGUCUCAGUUCAGAUUGCAGGCUGCAACUCGCCUGCAUGAAGUCGGAAUUGCUAGUAAUCGUAGGUCAGCAUACUACGGUGAAUACGUUCCC
rnacentral:rRNA from 1 species